UUGGAGGGCAAGUCUGGUGCCAGCAGCCGCGGUAAUUCCAGCUCCAAUAGCGUAUAUUAAAGUUGUUGCAGUUAAAAAGCUCGUAGUUGAACUUCGGGGUCUACCCAUUGGUCAGGCUUAAUUGUCUGCACUGGUGAGAUGGAUCUCUACCUUCUGAGGAACUUUCAUGCCAUUUAUUUGGUGUGAUGGGAAGUCAGGACUGUUACUUUGAAAAAAUUAGAGUGUUUAAAGCAGACUAUCGUCUAAAUACAUUAGCAUGGAAUAAUGAAAUAGGACGGACUGAUUCUAUUUCGUUGGUUUCUAGGAUCACCGUAAUGAUUAAUAGGGAUAGUUGGGGGCAUUAGUAUUCAAUUGUCAGAGGUGAAAUUCUUGGAUUUAUUGAAGACUAACUACUGCGAAAGCAUUUGCCAAGGAUGCUUUCAUUAAUCAAGAACGAAAGUUAGGGGAUCGAAGACGAUCAGAUACCGUCGUAGUCUUAACCAUAAACUAUGCCGACUAGGGAUCGGACGAAGUUAAUUUUAUAAUGACGCGUUCGGCACCUUACGGGAAACCAAAGUGUUUGGGUUC
rnacentral:rRNA from 1 species